CCUACGGGGGGCAGCAGUGAGGAAUAUUGGUCAAUGGACGAGAGUCUGAACCAGCCAAGUAGCGUGAAGGAUGACUGCCCUAUGGGUUGUAAACUUCUUUUAUAAAGGAAUAAAACGAGGCACGUGUGCCUUUUUGCAUGUACUUUAUGAAUAAGGAUCGGCUAAUUCCGUGUCAGCAGCCGCGGUAAUACGGAGGAUCCGAGCGUUAUCCGGAUUGAUUGGGUUUAAAGGGAGCGUAGAUGGGUUGUUAAGUCAGUUGUGAAAGUUUGCAGCUCAACCGUAAAAUUGCAAUUGAUACUGGCAGUCUUGAGUACAGUUGAGGUAGGCGGAAUUCGUGGUGUAGCGGUGAAAUGCUUAGAUAUCACGAAGAACCCCGAUUGCGAAGGCAGCUUACUAAACUGUGACUGACAUUGAUGCUCGAAAGUGUGGGUAUCAAACAGGAUUAGAUACCCGAGUAGUC
rnacentral:rRNA from 1 species